rnacentral:rRNA from 1 species
AUACGUAGGGUGCGAGCGUUGUCCGGAAUUACUGGGCGUAAAGAGCUCGUAGGUGGUUUGUCGCGUCGUCUGUGAAAUUCCGGGGCUUAACUCCGGGCGUGCAGGCGAUACGGGCAUAACUUGAGUACUGUAGGGGAGACUGGAAUUCCUGGUGUAGCGGUGAAAUGCGCAGAUAUCAGGAGGAACACCGGUGGCGAAGGGGGGUUGCUGGGCAUUAACUGACGCGGAAGGGCGAAAGCAUGGGGAGAGAACAGGGUGUGACACCCUUGGUGUCCAUGGCGUAAACAGUGGGCGCAGAGUGUAGGGGUUUUCCACGACGUCUGUGCCGUAGCUAACCCAUUAAGGGCCCCGCCUGGGGAGUACGGCCGCAAGGCUAAAACUCAAAGGAAUUGACGGGG